rnacentral:rRNA from 1 species
CCUACGGGCGGCAGCAGUGGGGAAUAUUGGACAAUGGGGGGAACCCUGAUCCAGCCAUGCCGCGUGUGUGAAGAAGGCCCUCGGGUUGUAAAGCACUUUCAGUGAGGAAGAACGCCUGGUGGUUAAUACCCAUCAGGAAAGACAUCACUCACAGAAGAAGCACCGGCUAACUCCGUGCCAGCAGCCGCGGUAAUACGGAGGGUGCGAGCGUUAAUCGGAAUUACUGGGCGUAAAGCGCGCGUAGGUGGCUUGAUAAGCCGGUUGUGAAAGCCCCGGGCUCAACCUGGGAACGGCAUCCGGAACUGUCAAGCUAGAGUGCAGGAGAGGAAGGUAGAAUUCCCGGUGUAGCGGUGAAAUGCGUAGAGAUCGGGAAGAAUACCAGUGGCGAAGGCGGCCUUCUGGACUGACACUGACACUGAGGUGCGAAAGCGUGGGUAGCAAACAGGAUUAGAUACCCCUGUAGUC